CAGGAGCUGGACGUGGCGGUCCGCCGGGCCCACGAGGCCUGGCGGAGCUGGCGGUCCGACCCCGCCGCCCGUGCC
rnacentral:tRNA from 1 species